rnacentral:rRNA from 1 species
AUACGUCCUACGGGAGAAAGGGGGCUUUGGCUCCCGCUAUUGGAUGAGCCUAUGUCGGAUUAGCUAGUUGGUAAGGUAAUGGCUUACCAAGGCAACGAUCCGUAGCUGGUCUGAGAGGAUGAUCAGCCACAUCGGGACUGAGACACGGCCCGAACUCCUACGGGAGGCAGCAGUGGGGAAUAUUGGACAAUGGGGGCAACCCUGAUCCAGCCAUGCCGCGUGUGUGAAGAAGGCCCUCGGGUUGUAAAGCACUUUCAGCGAGGAAGAACGCCUGUCGGUUAAUACCCGGUAGGAAAGACAUCACUCGCAGAAGAAGCACCGGCUAACUCCGUGCCAGCAGCCGCGGUAAUACGGAGGGUGCAAGCGUUAAUCGGAAUUACUGGGCGUAAAGCGCGCGUAGGUGGCUUGAUAAGCCGGUUGUGAAAGCCCCGGGCUCAACCUGGGAACGGCAUCCGGAACUGUCAGGCUAGAGUGCAGGAGAGGAAGGUAGAAUUCCCGGUGUAGCGGUGAAAUGCGUAGAGAUCGGGAGGAAUACCAGUGGCGAAGGCGGCCUUCUGGACUGACACUGACACUGAGGUGCGAAAGCGUGGGUAGCAAACAGGAUUAGAUACCCUGGUAGUCCACGCCGUAAACGAUGUCGACCAGCCGUUGGGUGCCUAGAGCACUUUGUGGCGAAGUUAACGCGAUAAGUCGACCGCCUGGGGAGUACGGCCGCAAGGUUAAAACUCAAAUGAAUUGACGGGGGCCCGCACAAGCGGUGGAGCAUGUGGUUUAAUUCGAUGCAACGCGAAGAACCUUACCUACCCUUGACGUCUACAGAAGCCGGAAGAGAUUCGGGUGUGCCUUCGGGAACUGUAAGACAGGUGCUGCAUGGCUGUCGUCAGCUCGUGUUGUGAAAUGUUGGGUUAAGUCCCGUAACGAGCGCAACCCUUGUCCUUAUUUGCCAGCACGUAAUGGUGGGAACUCUAAGGAGACUGCCGGUGACAAACCGGAGGAAGGUGGGGACGACGUCAGGUCAUCAUGGCCCUUACGGGUAGGGCUACACACGUGCUACAAUGGCCGGUACAAAGGGCGGCGAGCUCGCGAGAGUCAGCGAAUCCCUUAAAGCCGGUCUCAGUCCGGAUCGGAGUCUGCAACUCGACUCCGUGAAGUCGGAAUCGCUAGUAAUCGUGAAUCAGAAUGUCACGGUGAAUACGUUCCCGGGCCUUGUACACACCGCCC